rnacentral:lncRNA from 1 species
CUCAAUACAAAAAUUACUCCCUGUUACAAAGAAGCCUUAAAUCUGAUGUUGGACACCUAUGCCCCCUUUUUGCACCUCUGCAACUUGUACAUCACUGCACCUCUUCUCACCUCUGAGACUCUUGAAGACUUCUAUGAACAAACUAAAUAAGAAACCUCAAGCCAAAACUAUGCUUGAGUACUUUGGUUUACAAUGAAUGAGUUUGGAAUGGUAAAACAAAUUUCCAGCACAAAAGAAUAUAAUAGGCUAGAAUAAAUGGCUGGAAUAAAAUAAUUGCAGAGCUCUGAUGUAGUAUUUCAACUUGAUUGCAGGUUCAAAGUUGUAUCUGUUCAGCCGAAGAGAA